ensembl:snRNA U1 U1 spliceosomal RNA
AUACUCAGCUGGCAGGUGGAGCUACUAGGACCGUGAAGGUAGUUUCUCAGAGUGAGGUUUAUCCAUUGCACUCCCAAUGUGCUGUCCCUGGUGAUUUCCCCAAACAUGGGAAAGUUGACUAUAUAAUUUUUGGUAGUGGGGGGGCUGUGUUCAUGAUCUUAUC